GACAGAGGUGCCAAGCGUUAGGCGGAAUCACUGGGCUUAAAGCGUGUGUAGGCGGGUCGUUAAGUACCUUGUGAAAUCCCACGGCUCAACCGUGGAACUGCUCGGUAUACUGGCGAUCUUGGGCCACUUAGGGGCUAGCGGAACAAACGGUGGAGCGGUGAAAUGCGUAGAUAUCGUUUGGAACGCCAAUGGUGAAAACAGCUAGCUGGGAGUGUGCCGACGCUGAG
rnacentral:rRNA from 1 species